CCUACGGGGGGCUGCAGUGGGGAAUAUUGGACAAUGGGCGAAAGCCUGAUCCAGCCAUGCCGCGUGUGUGAAGAAGGCCUUCGGGUUGUAAAGCACUUUCAGUGGGGAAGAAAGCCUUGGGGCUAAUACCCUCGAGGAAGGACAUCACCAACAGAAGAAGCACCGGCUAACUCCGUGCCAGCAGCCGCGGUAAUACGGAGGGUGCGAGCGUUAAUCGGAAUUACUGGGCGUAAAGCGCGCGUAGGCGGUCUGAUAAGCCGGUUGUGAAAGCCCCGGGCUCAACCUGGGAACGGCAUCCGGAACUGUCAGGCUAGAGUGCAGGAGAGGAAGGUAGAAUUCCCGGUGUAGCGGUGAAAUGCGUAGAGAUCGGGAGGAAUACCAGUGGCGAAGGCAGCCUUCUGGACUGACACUGACGCUGAGGUGCGAAAGCGUGGGUAGCAAACAGGAUUAGAUACCCGAGUAGUC
rnacentral:rRNA from 1 species